rnacentral:rRNA from 1 species
UACGUAGGUGGCAAGCGUUGUCCGGAAUUAUUGGGCGUAAAGCGCGCGCAGGUGGUUCCUUAAGCCUGAUGUGAAAGCCCACGGCUCAACCGUGGAGGGUCAUUGGAAACUGGGGAACUUGAGUGCAGAAGAGGAAAGUGGAAUUCCAAGUGUAGCGGUGAAAUGCGUAGAGAUUUGGAGGAACACCAGUGGCGAAGGCGACUCUCUGGUCUGUAACUGACACUGAGGCGCGAAAGCGUGGGGAGCAAACAGG